AUAAUGGAGAGUUUGAUCCUGGCUCAGGACGAACGCUGGCGGCGUGCCUAAUACAUGCAAGUCGAGCGGAACCAUUGGAGCUUGCUCCUUUGGUUUAGCGGCGGACGGGUGAGUAACACGUGGGCAACCUGCCCUGCAGAUCGGGAUAACUCCGGGAAACCGGUGCUAAUACCGAAUAGUUUGCGGCCUCUCAUGAGGCUGCACGGAAAGACGGUUUCGGCUGUCACUGCAGGAUGGGCCCGCGGCGCAUUAGCUAGUUGGUGAGGUAACGGCUCACCAAGGCCACGAUGCGUAGCCGACCUGAGAGGGUGAUCGGCCACACUGGGACUGAGACACGGCCCAGACUCCUACGGGAGGCAGCAGUAGGGAAUCUUCCGCAAUGGACGAAAGUCUGACGGAGCAACGCCGCGUGAGUGAAGAAGGUUUUCGGAUCGUAAAACUCUGUUGUGAGGGAAGAACAAGUACCAACUAACUAUUGGGUACCAACUAACAAUUGGUACUCCGGGAAACCG
rnacentral:rRNA from 1 species